CCAUAUAAAAAGCUUCAUCUGGUUCUGGUUUGCAUUCACAAGUUCAAACACAUGAUGGGAAUGAAUUUUUAAAUGUAUGUGAUAGAAAAGCUAAUGGAGCCAUAACAUGGUGAGAUUAGUGUGAAGGCCUCAUAAAGGGAGCUCCGAGUUAGGAAUUGGGCCAUAAGAGUGCUUAAACAAGUGUUGCCUGACCAGAUGUAUAACUAUAGGACUGCAUCCAAACUUCCAUAGAAAUGAGUAAGACAACCGCCCUAGAAGAAGGCUGGGCCAAUAAAACAGAAGGAGACAACUGUUUUCUUAAGUACAUUUUGUAAAAUAAACUGAAUAUGAUCACAAUACAUUUUUGCCAUACGAUACAUUUUACACAUUUUACAAUUCUAAAGAAAUAAUGCCUAGAGGCUAUGGACACCUUUGAGAAGCAUUUCUUUUAUACUUGUUGUCAUACCUUUGCUUCAGUUAACCAGGCCCCUGUGGGGGCGCACCUCCGGGCGAAAGAGUGGAGAGGCCGCAGGCUGCCAAAGCGUAGGUACGGGGCAGGACUCCAUCUUGCACAGGCACUCGCUCGCUAAUGGGGAAUCCAGGACCUACCUAAUAGGGGAACUACCUGCCUACUGUGGGGGAUAUACCUACUAACAGGGAGAUGUACUAUCCUACCCAUUUUUACUGUGCAGGACACCAAGGAGGCAUUAUUACAGUUUGGGAGCCUAUAGAGGGGCAGAUUGGGUAGAGGUGGGGAGGACAUUGGAAUGGGGAGUCUAAGAUGUUUAUCCUGCAGAUGCUGAGGAAAUAAAGUUUUGGCUAAAAGAAGCCACCAUGGCGGUCUGAGCUGGACAUAGAAGAAAAGGAAAGAGGACGACACCGAUCAGAGAAGUCGUCAAUUGUGGGUCACUUGAUUUGGGAAGGGGAGGGCUAGGGUGUUGCUACAGGCUCACGGUGGGGGGUCACCUUGCCAAGGGCACAAGGGGUAUUAGGUACGCCAAGGGCACAAGGGGUAUUAGGUACGCCUCUACACCCAUGCAAACCGGCUAUGCAUACCUAGGAUUUUCUAUUGCCCCUAUAAUGAUAAGGAUUCGUAUUCACCAAUAUUAGCUGGUAAUAGUUUUUGCAAUUUUCAGUAGGGGGAGUUUAGAAGAGUUUGAGCUGAAAUUCCAGUGAAAUCUACAGGUGUCCCUAUUGGUGGUCUGCCACCCCUGAUUGUUCUCCCCUCAGCUCAUAGUGACAGACAUGCUAUCAAAGUGUGACCCAAUCCAACUAUCUAGGACCCCCAAAGAUGGGUAGGGGAUAAGAUGUCUCAAGGCCGGAGUACCCCUUUAAUGGAGAAGUAUCAUGGAAAACGUAUUCCCUAUCCUUCGGAAACAUGUAUCAAGAAAACCGCUCCCCUAUCCUUCGGAGGUUUUAGAUCCAUACAGGAGAUUUUGCAACAACUGGAGGCGCUCUGCUUGGCAAACGCUGGUUUAACUGUUUGGACACAUCUCUUAGUUUAUAGUGCAAAAGCAUCAUUGUGCGUGCUCUUUCAUAACUAAGAACAUACCUCUGUAUUAGUCCGCUCUAAUGACAUUUUGUCCAAUGCAUCCACAGGAAAUUAUGUCACUUUUUUGGCCUUUACUCAAAAGCCUCUGCCAAGCAGACAAUGAAUGAGCGACUUAUCAAAUACAGUUGUUACUACGCCUCUGCGCAGACCUGCUCCAUGAUAUCAUCUGACACUUAACCAAUGCACAAAAACUUUAAAUACAGUAUAUAAAACUAGAAAAAUACCCAUGACAAAAGUAAUGACAAUAAUGUAUAGUUACUGUCAAAAGUUUUCAGCCCGGGGACCUACGCCUGGUGAGCAAUACAGUGAUGAAAUAUUACCUCCAUACUGCUACUGAACUAAACUUAAUGUACUAUACCCAGAAAGAUAUUACCAAUGAGAAUGCCUCAAUAAUACUGCCAUCGGGCACACCGGGCAUUUUCCCGGAGGGCCGGGCUAUCCAGUGGGCCAUCCUCCUCGACGCAAUGUUUGAAAACUUUUUUUUCUUAAAGUUUGCGGCUCAAGCUGCUCUUACCCCUCCUCCUGCUGCAAUUUGCUUGCUCCUGGCGCCGAGGAAGAAGUGGAGGCCGACAAGCAGAUGGGAGUCGGCGCUGCCUAUCUGCUUCUGACCCCACGGCAACAUAUUCAUGGUGGACGGGAAGCCUCAAUGGGGAGGGGGCCCAUCCCGUCUAUAUAGGGGCCCCCAGCAGUGCCCAUAAGACCAAAAAUAACCUGGAACCCCAACACCCAGGCACCUCCCGCCUCCACUGACUGUAGCAAAGGCCUCUGGCCUACCCAGGUCACUAAAGCUUCCGUGCGGCGUAGCUGUCAGCGGCUUAGCGCUGCCUGCUGCCUCUGAUCUCCGACACUGGAUCCCUGGGACCAGAUCACCCUGAACUCCCGGCAUAUGCAGAGGAUGAGGAUCUUCUGACAAAGCGAGGAGCCAACAAUGUCCGGACGUCACACUCUGCAGAGAAGAUGUAGCUGGAUGACGUCCUGGCGUCUGGACCAACAGAGAAGACAUGACUCGCGUCACUGAUAUCAUUGUGUAUUCUCCUGACUGUCCCAUCAAAUGUAGUCACUGAUAUUGUGUAUUCUCCUGACUGUCUCAGAGCUGUAGUCAAGUUCUGCAGUGAUGAUGGAUUAAACUGUUCCCCAAUCUGUGACUCUCCAGCUGUAGCAAAACUACAACUUCCAUAAUUGUUGAGGCUCUCCAGCCAUGAUGGGAGUUAAAGCUUUACAACAGCUGGAGAGUCAACUAAACUGAGGUGAUCGGUCAGGGGUCUCAGCAGUCGAACCGUCACCAAAAAAAUGGGCUGCUUAUUGUAAAAUGCCCCGGCCUAUUUUUGGUCCCAGUCCAGCCCUACUGCCACACCAUUACCACUAUCAUUACCAUGAUAUCCCAUACAAGUGAUUACAGUGCAGUUACAUCCAGUUACUCACAGGUCACAUUUUCUCUGAUUGGUGUUGUUCUCUACUCUUUUCUUCUCCAUCUGGCCAUACCGCCAUGAUUACUUCUUCUGUCCAUGUCUUGCAGAAUCUUCUGGACAAACAUAUUGGGCUCUGGGCUUUUCCGGCACCCUUCCCACCUAUAUGCUACCUCUAAGCAAACUUCACCAUCUAUAGGGACCAAAAUGGUCCUAAUGCCCUGCUUGGUACCCCACACAUUAAUAGUGCCUACCUUUAUGCCACCACAUAGUAAAAGUACAAGCAGUAACAAUUCACUAACUAAUAGAGCUUCCUCUUGUCCUUUCUACAUCGACAUUAUGGGGGACAUUUUUCAUCACUGUCUAUUUUAGUCAUCAUUAUAGACCAAUGUCCAGCGCAUUUGUCCGGUCUAUUGUGCACCUAAUUUUUGAACUGUCGCACGGCUCUUCAUAAAUUUUGCGCACGGACUGUAGUUCGAAUUUUAUUUAAGGCUGCUUCAGCAUGGUCUGACAUUUCGGUGCAUUUUCGCCCGAUGCCACUUUUUGAAAUUGAUAAAUUCCGGACCACUGUAUUUUUAAAAAUCUAUUAUAGACUACUACGCUGCAGUGAACUAAAAGUCCUCUAUACCAAAAGUCGCAAAAAAGUCGAACGAAUAUAGAUUGCGACUUUCUGUGUUACAUAGGAAAAAACUGUCUAAAUCUUUUGAUAAAUGUCCCCCUAUGUUUCCAUAUAUGCCCCCAUACAUAUAUCUUUUUUUGUGCCCCCAAAUAGUAGACGGGGACUAGGUAGUUAGAUCCCCCAUAU